AGAAUUUUAUGAGUCUGUAUUAUUAGCAAAUGUGUGUGGAGAGUAAAACUGUAUCUCAGUAUACAUGUGAACUAAAAUAUGUGAAUGUGUCCAGAAAUCUAAAUAUUUAUCAGGUGUGAACAUGUGAAAAAGAAUCUGAAAGUAUUUAGUCAUAAACUGAAUGUAAAUGACUUUUUAUUAACGAGUUAAAGUGUAUUUAGCUUCAACAGACUCCUGCUGCAUAAUACCAGACUGUAUCACUCUGCUGUCAUUGUGCUUCAGUAGCUGUAGAGCCGACUCACCACCAGGCAGAAGCAUCUGUUGAUUUAAAUCUUGACAUUACUGGACAGUAGUUGUUGCAGUUUAGCUGCAGCAGUGUAAGUCUAUGUUAGCUAGCUAGUGCUACUUAAUGUCUCAGUGAAACAUAAACCUCUAAGCUGCAUGUUCAGCUGGUUGGAUAAUAUCUUGUUUUACCAAAGUUUAUCAAUACUAGUGAUGACAACAACUAUCAUAAAGUGAAGAUGUUAAUCCAGAGUCCAUCAUAGACUUGUACUUGUGAUCCUCGGCUCAGGAUGUAGAAAACCUGGACUCUGGACAGAUUUCCACACACAUGUGCAGAUCUCAGGUAUGGCAGGAGUGUAGCAAAAGUCACCUGUAAAAAGCCUAAAGUGGAGCGACAGGACAGUGAUUGAAACAUCCUUCCUACUGAGGAUCAACACGUCUCAGAAACAGGAGGAUGCUACAACAACAUGACCCUCCUCACUACUGGGACCAAAACCAACCUCUGAGCUGUGUAGCCGAGCAGGAGGAAACUGCUCAUAAGAUCGAUGCUAAUAUCACUGUGUCUGCUGAGAGUCAUCUCACUGCUGCUUUAAUCUGUCAAUCAUUUUAGAUUUUAGGAGCAUGCACACCUUUAGUUGUUCUCUUUGUGUAGGUUAUGAUGUCUGUACAUGAUUUACAGUUACAUUCUGAGUCUUACAUUAACUUCUUUUUAUCUGUUUCAGGUUCCUCCACUGGACUGAUUGUUACUGUUGUGGUUCUUUGUGUUGUUGUUGUUGUUCUACUUGGGAUUGAAGCCAGACGGAGGUGCUGCCGGUCCAAACAAUCAACAGAAGGUUUUCCAGUUUGACAGGUGCCUUGAAGCUGGCUGCUGAAGUGUGUUUGUGCUCCUUUAUCUUGAUUUUUGUGAGGAUCAAUUUGAGUUUUAGACCAAAGAGUGAAGACAUCUUUGGAGCAGUUUGAGCAUUUUGUCCAGUUCUCAUUUAUCCAAAGAGUUGUUUCUAAGUUGAGGUCUGAUUUUAGGUUAUAAGAUAGAAAUAGACGACUGUAUAAGCUGUUAACUGAAAGAUUAAACUUCCUGUCUGACUGCAGCAGGACCAGGAGGAGGCAGUGUAGCAACAACAUGAUAUCAAAUAUAAAAGACUAAAAUGCCUCAAACAGAGAACAGAACAGUUUCUGCUACUGACCUUAAAACUUGUUUUUUUCAUAACCACAAUCCCAAACAUUUAACCUCAUUAAGUCAUACUAUAGUAACCUCACUAACAUUUUGUUGGAAUAAUUGAGAGAAAGCAAACACUGGUAUGAAAGGUUACACUUGAAAAAGUCCAAAACUAACCUUUAAAUGUUCAAAAAUGUCAUAGAAUUUAAUUUGGACAUUUGCAGAAUUUCACUGUUCUGUCUGGUGAGUUUUGAUAAAUAUUGCUGUAAAUAUGCUGAGUUAACCAAAAGUCUGAUUUUCAUCCACAGUCCCUCAACAGGUGUUACAUAGUUAAUCUAAAAUAGUGCAUUCAAAUAUAUAAAACACAUAAUAAAAUAGAACAAACAUAUGAAGAGCAAUUUUUUUAAAGACUGGAGUUAACAGGCUGAUGGCAGCAGAGAUUAUUUACCUUUUAAUGCUGACAGAACUGAUUGUCAUUGAACCUUCCUUUAAUUAGAAUUAUAUUAACUGUAUGUGUUUAAUACUCUGAUGGAAAACUAAUACAGUCUAAUACAACAGGAUCCAGUAAAUCCUGCCUUCAUCAAGGUUCUAAUGUUCAGUUUUUGUUGAACCUGUAUGACAGAGGUGUCGACUCAACUUGAGUUAUUUUGGAGGCUUUAGUUUGUGGUGCUGUUGAAUUGUAUUGGGUUUUAUACUGAGAGGUGUUUUCAACUCAUUGAGUCAACAGUGUCACAAACUACAGACUCCAAAAUGAACAUAAAGUUGAUUUUAACACCUUUUAGAAAACAAAGUUAGCAAAAGUUGAACAUUAUACCUUCUAUAAAGUUAUGAGAUUACUGCAGGUUGUUGUAUUAAACUGCAUCAGUUUUAGCUUGUGUACCUAAUAAACUGCAACAGAGAGUAGUUCCACUCUUGUGCUUUGAAGAAAACUCAGACUAAGAGCAGACUCAGUCAUUUUCUCUCUGAUUCUUUGCUCUGUUGUGUUCUUAUUGUUUUAUUUUAGUAUUUUGAUGGUUUUAUUAUCACCUCGUAAUGCAUUUCAGUUUUAUUCUGGCUCUGUUGUCCAUGUACAAUAGAUUGAUCUCAUUUAUAAAAUGGUUUAAUGUCAAGCUGAAGUACAACUAUAAAACCAUCCACUGGACUGUUGUUGAGAACAUUAUAGUUCAUAGAUAAAUGACAUGAACCUGCAUAGAAACACAAUCAAACUACCUGAGACAGUUUGUGAUUAGUCAUUUUGGAUUUAAGACUUAAACAGAAUGAAAAAUAAAAAUAUGACAAUGAGGUAGCAAAGCAGGAUAAUCAAACAAUCACUGAAAAUAUAAAUCAACAUACAACAGAAUUAAAGUGAACUGAGUUAAAAAAGGGACCAAACUCUGUCCAGUCCCUGCUGCUCCUGUCCUCAGUCUGCAGCCUGCAUGGUAGCUCACUGCCAUCAGUGUGUUUAUGUGUGUUAAUGGAUGAAUGAGAGAAAAAUUGUAAAGCGCUUUGGAUAAAAGUACUAUAUAGAUGCAGCACAUUAGCAAAUAUUAUCAUCCUUAAAGAUCCUCACUGAGUUAAACUUGGUGUAGGAGCCAAAAUAUGUUGUUAUUUCUGUUUAUAUAUUGACUUGGGCAUCACGUAUUGCAUCACUUAUGUUGCUUGACACAUGGAUGUGGUUUCCUAUUAUUUUACCUGUUCACUUAGGUAGUGGUGGGAGUUUUGGACAAAGGGAGUUGGUAGAGCUCUGAUAUUUUCUGUUGAUUGUCACCAUCAAUCAUUACCAUCGUCUGUUCAUCACUUUAAUUUCACAGUCAGAUUACAUUUUUUGUAUAUUUUUUGUGCAACAGCUGCUUGUCAGACUCUUUCAUUUUUGCUUAUUUUUUUCAAUAAAACAUCAGUAAAACGUCAUCUGGACUUCAGGAUGGUUUUGUAUGGACGUGUCACAUAUAGGAGCCUACUGAGUCUCUUAGUGGCCUUUUAUGAAAAGUAGUGGCUACACUUGGGCAUUAAGAAAAAUAUAAGACUUCACUGAACUGAAGCCUGCUGUUGUGCUUUGAAUGUGAAUAUUUUGCAGCUAAACUGAAAUAAAAUGUGUGUUGUUGUUUUUUUAAACAUGCAUGUGUUAUUUCUUUGUAUUUUUUAAUGUUCUCAGCCAGAAUCAGUCAGUUACAGUUUCAUACUGAACUAUAAACUGUUGACUGAUCUUUGAAUCGUGCUGAAAGUUCAUGUAUGUUCAUGUUUACUGAUGAUGCACUUGCAGGUUAUCGUGUAAUUUCAGGCAGUUCUUCAUCAUUUUUGUUCAAAUGUUUGAAUAAAACAUGAAAAUGUCAAA